rnacentral:rRNA from 1 species
UACGUAGGGCGCAAGCGUUGUCCGGAAUUAUUGGGCGUAAAGAGCUCGUAGGUGGCUUAUCGCGUCUGCCGUGAAAGUCCGGGGCUCAACUCCGGAUCUGCGGUGGGUACGGGCAGACUAGAGUGAUGUAGGGGGAGACUGGAAUUCCUGGUGUAGCGGUGAAAUGCGCAGAUAUCAGGAGGAACACCGGUGGCGAAGGCGGGUCUCUGGGCAACAACUGACGCUGAGGAGCGAAAGCGUGGGGAGCGAACCGG